GGCUGUGCAGGGAGAAGUGGGCGUGGCUUAAAGACUGCGUCACGCUGUCUGUCUGAGCAGGCGAGUGAAAGGGUGGAAGAUGGCGGCGUGAGGUGGUAGAGAGGCGGAGAGGCCCCGCUGGGCCCGGGAAAUCCGGGGUAAUGAACACGCAAACUAGGCCGCAGUUGACUGGAAGCAGUUCUACCCUCUCUGCCCAAGAAGAAGAGCAGCAGCAUGAUACAAUGUCUACAUGGAUGAUCCCAGUGCUCCCGCAUGCGUCUGGCCCCGACGUUGAUUGAUCCUGCAGAUGCUCACUGCAGCGUUUUGAAGGCCCAUCUGGCAGCACAUGAACUAACAACGGGGAUAGAGCUUUCCCUGCAUUUGCUGAUGGGAGAGACUUUCCAGCCUAUGGACAAUGAGAGCCGUAGUCUAUUAGACAGUAAUGUAGCCGCUCUGCUCACAGGUACCUGCUCAUUAAAUGAGCUGAAGGCAGCUAUGAAUCCCUUCCUUCGUGGAUUUGGAAAGUGGCCCCUUGUUACAUUUGACCUUUUAAAAUGAGAUCUUGAAACGGAGAGCCAAGAACCGUGUACCAAAUAGUGUGCAGCUUUACCACUGCGCACACGUGUCAUGCCAACUGCAAUCCCAUUUUUUUUCUGUUGAGAAGUCUGUUUUGCUUUUCUCAUUUUGGAAAGCUGAUAUGAACGUUGUAUAUAUUGCGCAUCUAAAGUCUUAAUCGUUUACAACGUUGUUUCAAGGUUCUGUCGUCCCUUUACGAGAAGCAGGUAUAUUCGGAAAAAUAGAUCGAAGUGUACAUAAUGUCAUUAAAGGAAUGAUGAGAACAUGGAGGUUAUUACCUCAGUCAGCUUCAGGUUUGCGCUACGAGAUCUUCCUCUUCCCAUUUGCACUCAAUUUCACAAAUCAUUUUUUUCUCAGUUUCCAGUCCUUUUCUAACCAUGGGAUCUGGGCAAUACAGACUUGUGAUGUUCCACUUUUUUUACGAAGGUAAUAUAUUAAGGACAGUGUAGUUGUGUGCUAUUCUACAUCCGAGACCUCAGAUCAAACGAAAUACAUCACUUAAUUUACAGAUGCACUUAAUUUCAUGCACGCCGUGAUCUCUCAUAAAGAUGGGAAGAGAAAUGUACCGGUCUUGGUAGCAUCAACUUCUGACCACCGUUGGGAAGACUUAUACUAAAGUGAAUGAGCCAAAAUAUGGCCCCUGAAAAAAUAUAUAUAUUUCUGCCCCUAUCCGAAAGAGCUUAAUAUCUUAGAAGACAUAAGACAAAAAAAAAAAACAAGCUAGGAAGUAGCUUCUUGAUUUCAAGCUUUGAAUUCUUUACUUCUGAUUCAUCUUUGCAUAUUGGGUAUGUUUUAAAUAGGAGCUAUUUCAAUUAUAUAUAGAUAUACAAUAUAUGGGUUUUGGUGCAUGUAUUUGUUAGGAUCUUUUUAAGUAAGGUGGUUGGGUUAUUUUAGUACAAUGAUGAGAUUAUAACGGGCUCUUUUUAUAGUGUUUUGAGCCUCGGUAUUUGUUGCAGCUUAGAUUAUCCUCAUCAGGAUAAAUGCACUAAGUUGUGCAAUUGUUGUAGGGUAAUGUGGAGUUUUAGUUUUAUGUGGUGGAGAAACCACUUUUCUUUACAAUUUGACAGUGGCGUAACAUGUUUUAGGAAAUCAUGGGUGCUUUGUGGUUCCGUAUAGAGAUACUCCUAGUCUAGAUGCUACAAAUUGGAUUGAUAAGGAUUUCGGAGGGGCAUUAAUCCUGAAAAAUACCAUUUUACAGCUUUAAGGCCAAACUGACUUUUCAAGAGGUAUAAAUGUGAAAGCCUCAAACUAUAUUAAUUUAGAACAUUUGUUUAAUGGGUCUGUUUGGGGUUAUUAUGUGAUACUCAUAUGCCACUUCCCUGGGCUCUCACCAGUAAGGUUACGCAGCCCUUGCAAUACCCAAUUUCAAAAAUGCUUACCACUCAAGCCCAUCCAUGAUACGUGUUUGGUUUUAUAAUGGACAAUAUUCAAAUUGCUGUCCCGUAUUUCUGCUGUAAGGGAAUUUAUUGCAUCACCAUUAAUCAUAGCACUGCAUGCUCCCUUAAGAGAGCAAACACCUAGAGGCAGAUACAUUGAAGCGGAUGUUGCGUUCGGUAACGAGUGAACCUGUGUGUGAAAACCGUGUGGAUGUUUUAUUGCAUACAUGUACAUACUUUCCCUUUUUUCUGUUAAUACAUAUUGGCAACACCAAGGGGGUUAUUUAUCAAAAUCUGAAUUUUAUUUUCUGAAAUAUAAUCCGAUCAAAUCCACAGGGGUUAUUUCCCCUUAUUUAUCAAUACAUUUUCCCUGAAAAAUUCCAGUUCGGAGGAAAAAACUGUUUGAAAAUUCCAAUGGAGCAAAUUUUUUGGAUAUUCCGCCUGAAAAAUCUGCCUGAAAACCACAAAAUCUUUUGCACAAAACCUAGCACAGAUCAGGAUAUCUUUAGGACUUCUCCUAUUGACUUAUAUAAAACCUUGCCAGGUCUGAGAUGACCGAUUUUCAGAUUUGGACUUUUUCCAUCCUCGGGGUAUAACGAAUCCCGAAAAAUUUGUUUUUUUUUUCCACAAAAAAUUCUGAUUUUGUAGUAAAGAAAAAAAAAAGUUUUUGGCAUUCAGACUUUAUUAAAUAAUCCGCUAAGUAUUUGCCCAGAUACCCCAAAGGAAGUAGGUUUUAUUCAUUGCAGAGCUAUUUCUCCACAUUGCCCCCGAAUCCUCUCUCAUAGAGGCCUUUUUAUUUUAAUUUUUAUAUUAUUUCAUUACUGGGGAUGUGCAAUAUUGCCGUACAUAUGUAUAUUUUUACUACUUGUGAACAAAAUGUUACAAGUUGUCUGAGAACAACAAAAUCACCAAUGUCUUCCAUUUUGAGAUGUGUAUAGUUCCAUAAGAGCAUUAGUGCUAUGUAGCAAAUCGUAGUGGCACUUUAGGAUCAGUGCAUGAGAUUAACUCUUUUCUUUUUUGUAACUGUUUUUGACUAACGAAAUUUGUGUAAAAACAAUUUAUUGCUACCAAAUAAUAAUAAAAAAAAAAGGUGCAGUGUUCCUUAUUUGUCUAGGUGAAGCCAAUUAUUUUUCUUGCUGCAUUGUCAGUCUUCAAAUAAUAGACACUUGCUCUGUACAUAGGGUAUAUCUGAUAUUGGGGAGGAUACACUGCACCUUUUUUUUUUUUUUUUUAUCAAGACCCCAUUUGUAAAUGUGCCCUCAAGACAGGGUGGGGGUCAUUCUUGGCAACUGCAUGCUCCGUAAUGUUAAGUAUUUCUAUAUAUUAGGAAGUAAGAGAAUGUGUAAAUGAUGAACAAGUAGUACUGGAGGUUUGUUUAGGAGCCUCUUCCAUGUAUGCAUGGGGUCACAGAGCAAAGACUCUAACCAAGGAAGCAAUAAGAGCUCAGCUUGAUGGUAGCAUUCAUUUCAACUAGAUUAGGUGCAACGUUUAAGGCGAAACCCGAAAAAUACCUCUGCGACUGGAAUCCAGAAAGCACAGUAUGUUGUUCUUGAUGCAAACAAAGCCAUACCUUGUUAUACACCUUCAGUAGCAAUAAGCGUUUUGCAUGAUGUAGUCGCUUUACCUUUUGUACAGUAGAACACUGGUCGUAAUAAUCUGCAUGCUACAAGAGUCGGGGUUGUUUCAGUUCAAGAGUUGGCCCUUUUUUGCUCUCGUAAAAUGGGAUUUUUGAGAUGGCUUCUCGUUUAAUCACCAUAUCUCUCUUUUGUACCUCUUUAGCAAGGUUUCACAAUAUCCCGAUAUUAUAGCCUUGCUUCAUCUGGAUAUUGAGACUUGUCU